UACAACAAUCUGGGUUUGGUUUACAAAGAUAUGGGAGAGUACGAAAAAGCAAAGAUUUUAUGAACGAACAUUAGAAAUUUACACAAAA